UUUUCUUUUCUCUGUCCAGACAUAUGCAGGUCUGGAUCUCCAGUCCGCGACCUCUGACCUGUACAACACACUCACAACCGUUCACCACAGACCUGCUGAAAACUCCUGCUCCACUCUUGAUCCUCAGAGCUCUUCUGAACAUCACAAUCCACCAAUCAACAGGAGGAGGCUGCAGUGAGACGCGGAGCCAGAAACAACCAAUCCUGAGAAGUGUGGGAGGAGCCACAGAUGAUUGACAGGGUUUAUUAGUGAUGAUUUAAUUACUAAAGUGCCAUGGCGCGACCACUACUUACUCUUAAAGGGAAUGAGAGAUGAGUCUCUGAUUGGUUUAAUGCAUGUUACUCCCUAAACACAUCCAUAACUAAUUAAGAGAAUAAGAACGACCCAUUUGGACCAUGUGCCGGUCUAAAUCCUAAAAAUUUAAAUCCUUAAAAAGUUGAUUCAGACACUUCUUCAGUGCUUUGUUCCAUCUGCUUUAGACUUUUGAGUUUAGAUUGCUAAAAUGGAGCCCAAUGUGUAAAACCCUCACUUCACCAGCAGAGGCCUCCAUUUUCUAAAUGUUUUAUUUUUCAUAAAAAAACUCUCCACUGAUUUAUGGUUUUCUGAUGUACUGUGCUUAAAGUUAUUUGAAUGUGUUCUGCUUUAUUUAUAAUGGAUCAUACUGUGAGCAAUAUUAAUAAUCUGAGUAGUCUGGUUUGUAAAGAGUGAAAUGUUUCUCAUUGUGAUUUGUGUUUAAUCUUUUUUACCUUUUAUUUUUAGUCGUGUGUAAAUGUGUAUGUCUGUAAUGACUAAUGCUUUGCCAAUGCAGUAAAGACUUUUCAAAGCCAGCUGAGUAUCAAUAAUACA